AUGCCCUUGGUUCUUCUGGAUCUCCAGGUUGCUAACUCCAAAGGUGACCUUAAAGGAUUGCUGUUUAGUGUCACUCAAGAUCUACUAAGCAUCAUUUUUUGGAUGACUGUGGCAAAAGGAUAUCUGUACAAAACCAGUUCCUUUCUGAAGUUUAUAGUUGGGGCCCUGUUCUCAGACAGAAGAAAAGCUCUUCAACUACACAGAGAGGAGAGAUCCUGCCACCAUCAACUGUAUCAGAGCAGCUGCACUCCACAGCCCCAGGAUGCUUUUGAAACUUCAGUCAACGUGAAUUGUACCCUCUGGAGAUGUGAACAAUCCAUGUCACUUUACAUGGUGACCUCACUCAUUUUGUAGAACUUGUGCUUUGCCUUUUGGUGGGUUGAAAGAAUAUGAAAUAAAUGGAAAUUCUCAGAAGUUGAAAGGUUUAUU
rnacentral:lncRNA from 1 species